CCCUUAGAGUUUGAUCCUGGCUCAGAGCGAACGUUUGCGGCGGGCCUAACACAUGCAAGUCGAACGAGAAUCUCUUCGGAGAGGAAAGUGGCGCACGGGUGCGUAACACGUGGAUAACCAACCCCCUGGUUCGGGAUAACAUCGGGAAACUGGUGCUAAUACCGGGUGUGUCCGCGAGGCCGUCAGGUCUUGCGGAGAAAGACACGCAAGGGUCGCCAGGGGACGGGUCCGCGUCCCAUCAGCUAGUUGGUGAGGUAAUGGCUCACCAAGGCGAAGACGGGUAGCUGGUCUGAGAGGAUGAUCAGCCACACUGGAACUGAGACACGGUCCAGACUCCUACGGGAGGCAGCAGUGGGGAAUAUUGCGCAAUGGGCGAAAGCCUGACGCAGCCACGCCGCGUGAGCGAUGAAGGUCUUAGGAUCGUAAAGCUCUGUGGAGGGAGAAGAAUAAAGCCGGUGAAGAGCCGGCCUUGACGGUAUCCCUUUAGCAAGCACCGGCUAACUCCGUGCCAGCAGCCGCGGUAAUACGGAGGGUGCAAACGUUGCUCGGAAUCAUUGGGCGUAAAGCGCGCGUAGGCGGCGAAGCAAGUUGGAUGUGAAAGCCCUGGGCUCAACCUAGGAUGUGCAUACAAAACUGCUUCGCUUGAAUCUCGGAGGGGGACAGGGAAUUCCCGGUGUAGAGGUGAAAUUCGUAGAUAUCGGGAGGAACACCAGUGGCGAAGGCGCUGUCCUGGACGAUGAUUGACGCUGAGCGCGAAAGCGUGGGGAGCAAACAGAUUAGAUACCCUGGUAGUCCACGCCGUAAACGAUGAGUGCUAGCG
rnacentral:rRNA from 1 species